AUUGAACGCUGGCGGCAUGCUUUACACAUGCAAGUCGAACGGUAACAGGGAGCUUGCUCCGCUGACGAGUGGCGAACGGGUGAGUAAUAUAUCGGAACGUACCCAAGAGUGGGGGAUAACGUAGCGAAAGUUACGCUAAUACCGCAUACGAUCUAUGGAUGAAAGUGGGGGAUCGCAAGACCUCAUGCUCCUGGAGCGGCCGAUAUCUGAUUAGCUAGUUGGUGAGGUAAAGGCUCACCAAGGCGACGAUCAGUAGCUGGUCUGGGAGGACGACCAGCCAAACUGGAAAUGAGACACGGUCCAGACUACUACGGGAGGCAGCAGUGGGGAAUUUUGGACAAUGGGCGCAAGCCUGAUCCAGCAAUGCCGCGUGAGUGAAGAAGGCCUUCGGGUUGUAAAGCUCUUUUGUCAGGGAAGAAACGGGAGUGGCUAAUAUCCAUUCCUAAUGACGGUACCUGAAGAAUAAGCACCGGCUAACUACGUGCCAGCAGCCGCCGCAG
rnacentral:rRNA from 1 species